AUGACGCUGGACUCGUACAAAUGGAAAUGAUCUUCGGAGAGGUGCGAAAAAAUACCAUAAACAUGCUGGGAUGAACCGAUCUUUGCAUAAAAUUUAUCACCUUAUCGAUCGCCACCGUCAGUCGGCUUUCAAUCUUCAAUGCUUUCGGAGCUAUCUAACCUAUCUGUCCCGGCUCGGCGUGUCCGUAUUGUGUGUUUGCUAGUGCUCAGUGAUCGUGCUUAAGUUCGGUAGUGAUAGUCGUGUGUAUGAAUCGAUCAUAAAGUAUCUUAGUAGGCGAUUUUUGCUUCUCUAUCGAUAUACACAAUCACGUGUGCUGAUCGGGGUUUUAUUUUUUACUCUUCUGCCAACGAUGUGCGGACCAUUGAAAUGUUUUACAGUUGCUUUUAUGCUGCUGGCAGCACGUGAAAGCAUGGCGGCCCCACAAGGUGAUGCGCUGGCGGAAUAUCCUAAUGGAGCGUUCAACGAUCCCGUACCGAACAAUGAGAACAACCAGAAGUUCAAGGAGUAUGCCGACUAUUUAACCCGUUUCGACGAAUGGGUCACGGGCAAGAAGGUUCCGAUUCCGGCCGACCCCGAAACCGAUGCACUACAUCAGAGUUUGCCACCAAAUGCACCGAACUUUGGACCGGCUCGAGUGGCUCGCAAUUCGGCCGGGUUUGACGAUCCUGUGCCGCUGGGUAGUGAAGCAAUUCCGGAGUACAACGAGUACAUUCGGGUGCUGACUCGCUUCGAUCCGUACGUUACUGGUCAACGGGUAGUUCCUGCUAGUGAUGGACAUGCCGUGUACAAGCGUGAAGAUAAACCGGACGAUUCGCUCAUCAGCAAGGAUAAGGAUUUUGGUGAUCACAUUGAGGAUAAGGUGCCGGAAACGUCCACCAGCUCGGAUCCACAGUAUGGGGAUUUUAUCAAGGAACUGAAACGGUUUGAUCCUUGGCUUGCUGGACGUAACGUGACGAUCCCACAUAAUACGACAGCCGACCAGGUCUGGAAUAGUGAUGAAGGCAAGGAUCAUUGAAUGAUCGUGUCAGUAUUAGCACCGGUGCCUGUACGUGUGUGUGUGUGUAUGUAUAUAUAAAUUAAUGUCAUCCCCAAGUUCUAACUGUUUCCAAGGAUUUCACAAAGUUUAUCUAUCAAUAAAGCAACGUUUGGAAGCUUACAAUUUUGGUAAUGUGUGUCUAUUUCUUAAGGAUUAAAAGAACCAAAAUACUGAUCGUCACCUUCAAUUUCAUCCUGAUGCAAUCCCACAACUGGAAAUGUGUUAAGACAAACAUUCACCACGAGAUCACUACCCUUCCACGUAACAUCGUAUUAACCUAACCCACCUAUCACUGUUAAUAUUAGAUUAGUCACUACGUUUAGGCACAUUGACGUACUGCGGUCUUGAAAUAUGGCGGCGCUGCCUUGUGGUUGUAAUGUAUGAAAUGAUAGAACAGCCGUUACCCAAUGACUCGCACGAAAUCCACGGAACAGUUGAUAACAGCUGACCUCCAGCAUCGUCUGCUCUAGAUUAUUUACCUAUCGAAGCGGCUCAGUCAUUCUCAAUUGCAAAUGUUCAACAAAAUAUUGCAAACGAUUUCAGCAUAAUUUUCCAUGAUCAUGUUAUGAUUGUAACGUUUCAUAACUGUUCGCUCAUAGCAAUGUUUUUGCGUAAUGAAAAGCAUUAAAAUACAUUUCUCAUUAAAACCCCCACAUACAAUUCUUCAACAAGAAUCAAACUAAAACAAUACGGAAAAAGCCAUCGGGAAUUACCAUUUAUUCGCUCGUGGCAGAUGUUGUUUGUUUUGCUUUGCCGCUUCGUUUUGGAAAAUAAAUCAUCACUCAGAUAAUGCGGCCAUAAUAAGUUGUGCCAAACUACAACUACCAAGUCCCACUUAGUGAUAACUAUUCUUAUAUAUAUAAGGUUCCAUCGUGUGCAUCUGGGCAUUAAUCAAUCAGUUGGGUGUAGUACUUGCUCAGUGAAUAUUCAUUUCUGUUGGGAAGGUGAAAGAAAAUCUCAGAUCAACACUUCAUUAUGGCUAAAUGGGGACUUUUGCUGUUGGCGGUUUUCGCCCUUAUUGCUAUCGCUUCUGUUCAAGCUGAUCAUGACGGUACUCAUCAUGACGAGCAUCAUGACGGCGAACAUGCAACUCAUGGAUCGGGACACGUUCACAAGGAUGGCUGCAAUCAUCACAAACACGGCGGUGGGUUUGGACGUCAGGGCGAUCAUAAACAUCACGAACGUGGGCAUGGCCACCACCACGGGAAGGAUGACGGGCAUCAGCAGAGCCACGGCCAUUAGCCGUGUGAAGUGAAAGAACAUGUUGGUUACGAAUUGAUCAUAAAUAAAGUGUGAAUAGAAA